rnacentral:misc_RNA from 1 species
AAGUCGUAACAAGGUUUCCGUAGGUGAACCUGCGGAAGGAUCAUUAAUGUAACCGGACCGGUCCUUUGCCGUAAAACGCACCGGAUUGGAAAGGGAGAUAUCAUACACCCUGUGUUUAUUUACCUUUGUUGCUUUGGCGGGCCGUCCUUUAGGCGUCGGCCCCGGCUGAUCGCGCCCGCCAGAGGACCCAAACUCUUUUAUCAGUGAUGUCUGAGUACUAUAUAAUAGUUAAAACUUUCAACAACGGAUCUCUUGGUUCUG